UGUGACGAGGGAAUCGGAGCGGAAGAACUCAAAGACCCCGGAAACUUAGGUGACCAAGGCAAGCAACCCUUUCACCAUGACUGAGCAUAUGUUACUUUUCAUGUUAAAAUAGCUAGUAUUCCCGUUGCAUAUGAUCAUAAGUGCCGGUAAUCAUUUGAUAUGAUUUUACCAAAGGCUCCUUCGGAGCACAUGCAUUGAGCUUGACUCUACCCCUUAGGGUCAUGCUAAUACCAUGUUGACAAGUAAAGAUCGCAGUAGUAUUAUCAUGAGCAUGAUGUUGUCAUAAAGCAAGAGUUUAUGAAAACCCCAUCAGGUGCCACUAAUGCCCGAGGGUGAUGAUGAGACAGGUGGUCACUUUUGGUGAAGUGAUGCACCUGGUAUUUGUGUGAGUAAGGUUUCAGAAAUGGGAUUAGAUUUAUGAAGUGUCGACUGUCCCAACCUUACUAGUACGACCAUGUUACCCCUUAUGGGACGGGGUUAUGUUAAUUACUCUAGUCGGUGUUAGCAAAGAGCCACAUUACUAGUGGCGGGAGUGAUAUGUGGUCACUCUCGUGAUGGGGUCCUGCCGGGUAGAACGACUAUGCCAUUUUUAUGAGUUCCAGUCACACCGUUGGUCCCCGCAUGGUUGGUAGUGUCCAGAGUUGGUGCUCGUAAGACGUACAACAUGUGGGCUGGGUACCAAUCGAGUGGACCUCUUUGUCUAGUAUCGUCAGGGGAAAGGCAUUGAUCGGGUACUUACCUCGGGUAUGUGAUAUACCGCGAGUCGUGGAUGACACGAAAGUUUCCCGGAUCUCGUGGGUCCAGCAUACUACCUCUGCAGAGUGUAAACUAUUCGAAUAGUCGUGUCCACGGUUAAGGACAGUAGGGUAAUCCUGCUUAAACUACGUCCUGAUAUUUCUGCAUAAACCAAGUCUCUCUGUGUGUGUGUGUGUGGUGAUAAGGAAAGUGUUGCUACGUUAGAAAUGAUAUGACCAAGUUUGGUGACUUGGCAUAUAGGGUGAACCCGGAUAUAUUGAUAUCUGUUACCUGUUCUUAAAAAGUAAUUCUUUAACUUGAUACAUAUUCAUGACCAGUCCACCCAUAUGAGUUACACUAGAAGUGCAUGAUAUUGUUAUCCUUCACUUUCGUUGAUUAUAUCAUGGGUUGUUUGCCAAUACAUUCAAAGUACUCAUUGGCUUGCCACUGGUUAUGUUAUUGACUAGACAUGGAAGGACCGGAGUUUGAAGAUGAGUACGUCUUCGGAGACACCCCUGCGAACUAGGACGCUUCCGAGUCAGAAUGCCUAUCGGUGUAGGCUUGAUGGCAUGGGCACCCGCUUAGCCCCUUUAUUUUCCAUUAUUAGUGUACUCGUGUGAUUUGGCCUUAGGCCCUGUCUUGUGAACUUGACUCUUCGGUCAUGUGUUGUAAUAAUCGGUACUUGGAUGUUAGACUCUUUAUUCAGUAUCUGUGUUCGG
rnacentral:lncRNA from 1 species